rnacentral:tRNA from 1 species
GCCCGGAUAGCUCAGUCAGUAGAGCGUUAGGCUUUUAACCUAAUGGCCCAGGGUUCGAGCCCCUGUUCGGGCG